CGACUAAGUCAGUUGUGCGUCAAAAGUAUUGGGCGACUUAAAGGAAGAAAUGCACCACGUCCACAGUUCCGAUUGCAAGAUGAAGCGCAAGCCAACAACUUUGCAAGCUUCCGAGAGAGAGGGUGAGGGGGAGAAAGAAUCUUGCAGAUUCAUCCUACCGAAAGAGAGAAGCCCGAGCGGGGAUGGUGCUCAUCACCGUUUCAAAGCCGAAGAGCCAGCGCUGUCCGAAGAGGUCUCUGUGGUCAUGUAGCCGGCAUGACUCAACGCCAAAGGCGCACGGAACGCUGUUACCUUCCCACCAAAGAUAUUUGCAAACUGGGUGUGCUACCAACCUGCUUUCCAUUGAGGACCUGUAUACUGCAUGAGUCAAAAAGAGGGCUGUGAAAAUAUUUACAGACCCCUCACAUCCUGGACAUAAACUGUUUCAACUCCUACCCUCAAAACGACGCUACAGAGCACUGCGCACCAGAACAACUAGACACAAGAACAGUUUCUUCCCAAACGCCAUCAUUGCUAAACAAAUAAUUUCCUCAACACUAUGAAACUAUUUACUAAAUCUGCACUACUAUUAAUCUUCUCAUCAUUUCCAUCAUCCAUCUCCUUCCACUUAUGACUGUAUGACUGUAACUUUGUUGCUUGUAUCCUUACGAUUUAUAUUGAUAUUGUUUCCUGAUUGCUUAUUUGUACCCUAUGACUAUCAUUAAGUGUUGUACCUUAUGAUUCUUGAUGAACGUAUCUUU